rnacentral:rRNA from 1 species
AUUGAACGCUGGCGGCAGGCCUAACACAUGCAAGUCGAGCGGUAACACAGGGAGCUUGCUCCUGGGUGACGAGCGGCGGACGGGUGAGUAAUGUCUGGGAAACUGCCUGAUGGAGGGGGAUAACUACUGGAAACGGUAGCUAAUACCGCAUAACGUCGCAAGACCAAAGAGGGGGACCUUCGGGCCUCUUGCCAUCAGAUGUGCCCAGAUGGGAUUAGCUAGUAGGUGGGGUAACGGCUCACCUAGGCGACGAUCCCUAGCUGGUCUGAGAGGAUGACCAGCCACACUGGAACUGAGACACGGUCCAGACUCCUACGGGAGGCAGCAGUGGGGAAUAUUGCACAAUGGGCGCAAGCCUGAUGCAGCCAUGCCGCGUGUAUGAAGAAGGCCUUCGGGUUGUAAAGUACUUUCAGCGGGGAGGAAGGCGAUAAGGUUAAUAACCUUGUCGAUUGACGUUACCCGCAGAAGAAGCACCGGCUAACUCCGUGCCAGCAGCCGCAGUAACAC